CAUCCCAUUCCCAAGCAACGAACGAAACGACCUGAUUAGCUCCCUUGCUAGUACUUUCAGGCCAGCCGACGCUUCUCUGCCUAGGUUCCUACCUAGAAGGCUGGAACACCCAAUGGGUUCCAAAUACUUGUUGUUCGGCCUUUGCUCCCUGCUAGUGCUUUCAGGCCAGCGCACGCUCUUCCCUCGGGUGUUAGCUCGAGACAUUUCCGUCUCGAGAUCAGAAACGAUGACAUUCGUUCCAUUUGUUCACGCGCCUUCCAAGGACGAUGCCGGUGGCCGCGGUAUUAUUGAUGUGGACCAACCCAGAGUGGGAGAUCAGAAACCUUCAAUUAGUCCAAUUAUUUCUCAUUUUCCUCGCUGCCCGCCCAUACUUUGCCACGGCGUUACCAAGGCUGGCAGUGCCACUGCAGCACGUCCAUGAGAAGAAGAUAUUAGUUGCGACGCAAUUCAAUAAUAAAUCCUCCAAUAUGCUUUGCAGUGUUGCAGCCUGCCUUCAAGGCCUCUCGCUGGGUAGUACUACUACAGUAUACUCAUGAAGGAGCCUUGUAUUUUUAUCAGAUUCCACGCCGUAAUCCUUUUUUAAACGUAUCUGUGUUCAAGGAGUAUCUCCCCUUCCCCACGUGACUGUGUGAUGUAAUACGUCUGUACUCCUACUUGGAUGUGAUCAGCAUUGCUUAUUGAAUAAAUCAUGCUCCGGCAUCAGCAUCUAUUUAUGGGAAAUA